rnacentral:rRNA from 1 species
GUGCCAGCAGCCGCGGUAAUUCCAGCUCCAAUAGCGUAUAUUAAAGUUGUUGUGGUUAAAAAGCUCGUAGUUGGAUCUCGGCGGACUGAGGGCGGUUUGCUUGCUAGUAUUACUGCCCUAUAGUCCGUAGUUUUGCCAGAGGUUUCGGGGUGCUCUUAAUCGAGUGUCCCGGGAUGCUGGCAGGUUUACUUUGAAAAAAUUAGAGUGCUCAAAGCAGGCUAUUACGCCUGAAUAUUCGUGCAUGGAAUAAUAGAAUAGGAAGUCGUUUCUAUUUUGUUGGUUUUCGGAAAUCGACUUAAUGAUUAAUAGGGACAGUCGGGGGCAUUUGUAUUCAAACGACAGAGGUGAAAUUCUUGGACCGUUUGAAGACAAACUACUGCGAAAGCAUUUGCCAAGAAGGUUUUCAUUAAUCAA